GACGAACGCUGGCGGCGUGCUUAACACAUGCAAGUCGAACGGAAAGGCCCUGCUUUUGUGGGGUGCUCGAGUGGCGAACGGGUGAGUAACACGUGAGUAACCUGCCCUUGACUUUGGGAUAACUUCAGGAAACUGGGGCUAAUACCGGAUAGGAGCUCCUGCUGCAUGGUGGGGGUUGGAAAGUUUCGGCGGGUGGGGAUGGACUCGCGGCUUAUCAGCUUGUUGGUGGGGUAGUGGCUUACCAAGGCUUUGGCGGGUAGCCGGCCUGAGAGGGUGACCGGCCACAUUGGGACUGAGAUACGGCCCAGACUCCUACGGGAGGCAGCAGUGGGGAAUAUUGCACAAUGGGCGGAAGCCUGAUGCAGCAACGCCGCGUGCGGGAUGACAGCCUUCGGGUUGUAAACCGCUUUCGCCUGUGACGAAGCGUGAGUGACGGUAAUGGGUAAAGAAGCACCGGCUAACUACGUG
rnacentral:rRNA from 1 species